ensembl:snoRNA SNORA62 Small nucleolar RNA SNORA62/SNORA6 family
ACUGUAAUUAUUAGAGCUUGGAGUUGAGGCUGCUGGUUGGACAAUGAACUUACAAGUGUAGGUAGUAUGCUACAUGAUGGGCAAGUCUUUCGCUAACACUGCAAGUAUCUCUAACACAAUGAGUGGAGUUUGAUAGUAAUUCUUGCUACAAGU